GCUUGCUAAUGAAAUUCUUAGUGGCGGACGGGUUAGUAACACGUGAGAAUCCUACCCUUAAGUGGGGAAUAGCCUUUCGAAAGGAAGAUUAAUGCCCCAUGGUCUCUACGGAGUAAAGAUGCCUUCGGGUGUCGCUUAAGGAUGGGCUCGCGGCCUAUCAGCUAGUUGGUGAGGUAAGAGCUCACCAAGGCAACGACGGGUAGCUGGUCUGAGAGGACGAUCAGCAACACUGGAACUGAGACACGGUCCAGACACCUACGGGUGGCAGCAGUCGAGAAUCAUUCACAAUGGACGAAAGUCUGAUGGUGCAACGCCGCGUGGAGGAUGACGGCCCUAGGGUUGUAAACUCCUGUCAUCAGGGAGUAAGACUUAUUCGUUAAUAGCGUGUAAGUUUGAUAGUACCUGAAGAGGAAGGGACGGCUAACUUCGUGCCAGCAGCCGCGGUAAUACGAAGGUCCCAAGCGUUGUUCGGAAUAACUGGGCGUAAAGCGUGUGUAGGCCGCGCGGAAAGUCGGAUGUGAAAGC
rnacentral:rRNA from 1 species